rnacentral:lncRNA from 1 species
UUCUGUAUUUUUCUACUUAAUAUCAUAUCUUGAUUUAAAUGGACUUAACUAUUAAUGGAGAAAUGUUUCACUUUCAGAAGGAGUUCUCAUUUGAAGAUAAAGAACAGCUCACUAACCACAAAAGAGGAAUUGAUGCUAAGCUUUUAGUUGUACUUCCUAAAGGCUGAUCAAAUGAAGGGGAGGAAACUUCUGAUUCUCCUCUGGAAAAGCAAACUCCAUCCAAAUACUGCACAGAAACCUCUGGCGUCCACAGUGACUCACCCUAUGGUUCGGGUACCAUGGACACCCACAGUCUGGAGUCCAAAGCCGAAAGAAUCACAAGGUACAAAGCAGAAAGAAGGCGACAGCUGGCAGAGAAAUACGGGCUGACUCUGUAUCCCAAGGCCGACCCUGAGUAUUUAUCCCGCUAUACCAAGUCCAGGAAGGAGCCUGAUGCUGUCGAGAAACGAGGAGGAAAAAGUGACAAACAGGAAGAGUCAAGCAGAGAUGUGAGUUCUCCGUACCCCAGGACCGAGAUGAUGGGGCUCAGGACCUGUGCAGGUGAAUCCAAGGACUAUACUCUCCAUGGGGGUGACGGUGCUUCCGACCCGGAGGUGCUGCUGAACGUAGAAAACCAAAGACGAGGUCAAGAGCUGAGUGCCACCCGGCAGGCCCAUGACCUGUCCCCAGCAGCAGAGAGUUCCUCGACCUUCUCUCUCUCUGGGCACAAUUCCUCCUUCACUGAAGUGUCACAGUCCCCAAAGCACGUGCACAGCUCCUCCCUGCAGCAGGCGGCCUCCCAGAGCCCCUCCUACGGUGACUCGCAGCUACCCUCUGAGGCCCGACCCAGUACAGGGAAACCCAAACAUGAGUGGUUUCUCCAGAAAGAUUCCGAAGGGGACACACCUUCACUUAUCACCUGGCCGUCCAGGUACCCGCACGCCGGCCUCUGGGGUGUGCAUGCAUGAGUGUUGCUUCUUCCCGCCUGACCUGCAGUUCCACACAUCAGCUAACACCCACUCUCCUCUUCCCCUUUUUAAUACCGGUGCACUUGAAAAUCAUGUGGAAGUUACUUUCAAUCAUUGCUUUUCUCCUCCACUUGCCCUAAUCCAUGCUGGUAGUAUCUCUCCUUCCUCCUCUUUUUCCCGCUUUCUUGAUUGACAAACCUUUUACUUCACCUCUUGCUUUUCCCUUCUCACCAACUCACAUAGGACUGGCCAGUGAGGGGCAGUAGUGAGCACCCAGCCAGGCCCUGGGCUGCUUUCCUGAGCUGGACUCACCAGCCCGCGUCCCGUCUGCUCAACUCCCCACUGCUCCGCGCCCUUCCAGCCUCCUUGCUUUCAUAUCUCCUCAUGAAUUUUCAACAGUUAAAUUUAGGGCAUGUGGUUUUAAAAGCAAACAAAAGCCUCUAUCAUUUCAUUUUAAGACUGGGGCAGGGAGAGGGGAAGGAGUCAAAAUGAGUAAGUCAUGGAAGGACAAAGCUCCCCACACAGAGUUUGUGACAGUCACUUUGUUCUCGGCUGAGGACAACAUGCAGAUUGUCUUUGAU